ensembl:lncRNA
CCCCACCCCACAGGAAAGGAACAGGCAACAGAACGUAGUAGCAAAAAAGUUUAUUUUACAGGUUUAAUAAAAUACAUAUAAAAUAAAUAAUAAUAAUAAAAAAAAUCAAUAAAUUACAGUGGGAGGGAGGGCCCAUAUCACCAACCCCCCCCUCCCCCAAAACAUGCAGAGUGCCCCUCAUCACUGGGGUACUCCCCUUCCACAAGCAGAGCCCUGGGGAUUCCCAUCAGACAGAGGGUUCCUCAUCAGCAGGGGGGGUCCCAUGGGGUGAAGGGGGGGGGGGGGGGCGGGGAGGUGUCAUCCAUCAGUGGGCUCCUGGGGGGGGGGUCCUGGAGGCUCUCCCCUCCUUGCAGCCGUUCCCAAAUGCGCUCCCGGUGUGAGGGCUGCAGGAUGGGCUCCAGGAUGGGGCGCAGCAGAGCACAGCGGCGGGCAAAGCGCAGGCGGUCGCGGGCCAUGGUCUCCCAAGGCCCCCGGCGGGCAUCGGGGUCUGGGGGGGGCUGGAGGAGGAAGACCUGGACCUGAAGGCUGAACCGUACCUUGGGAGGGAGGGGGAAGAAAACAGAAAGAGGGAGGGGGUGAUGUCAUCCUGAUGGUGUCAUGAGUGAUGCAAGAGACACGGGACUGCCCCAUGACUCCUACCCCCGCCCAUCCCAUAUAAGGCUCGGCUUCUUGCUUCUUGGUGAUGAUGGGGGCUCAUCCCUGUGGAGUCCCACAGGUUUUUUUUUUGGGGGGGGGGUUGGAUUCCAUCUCAUGCCCCCACCCCCCAGCCCCCAAAUGCCCACUUAUGUGGCACUCACUCUCUUGGUGCUGCGAGGGCGGACCUCUUCGCUCCCGGGUUCUUCAUUGUUAGGGGGUUCCCCAGUGUUGGGAGGGUCUCCAUCCGCCGGGGGGGUCUCGGGGGUGUCCCCGUCCCACCCUUGCUCAUCAUCGUCGUCCUCGUCGGGCUCCGGGCGGUAGAAAAGGGCGUUUAGAAUGGGGGGGUGCAGGGGGUCCUCAGCCGCCAUCAGAGGGGCACAGGGGGGUGCCAUAUCCUAGAAAAGGAAACAGAAAAGUGAGGAGGGGGGCGGCGGGGGGUGAAGGGACCCCCAACCUCCUACGAACCCAGGACCCCCCCCCCCCCAUCAGACCCAAAGAACCCCCCCACCCCACUCCACCCCUCUGACUACGGCACUCCCUACAUUCUGGGGACCCCC